AUUGAACGCUGGCGGCAUGCCUUACACAUGCAAGUCGAACGGCAGCACGGGAGCAAUCCUGGUGGCGAGUGGCGAACGGGUGAGUAAUACAUCGGAACGUGCCCAAUCGUGGGGGAUAACGCAGCGAAAGCUGUGCUAAUACCGCAUACGAUCUACGGAUGAAAGCAGGGGACCGCAAGGCCUUGCGCGAGUGGAGCGGCCGAUGGCAGAUUAGGUAGUUGGUGAGGUAAAGGCUCACCAAGCCGUCGAUCUGUAGCUGGUCUGAGAGGACGACCUGCCACACUGGGACUGAGACACGGCCCAG
rnacentral:rRNA from 1 species